UACGUAGGGGGCGAGCGUUGUCCGGAUUUAUUGGGCGUAAAGAGCUCGUAGGCGGUUUGGUAAGUCGGGUGUGAAAUCUCCACGCUCAACGUGGAGGGGCCACUCGAUACUGCCAUGACUCGAGUCCGGUAGAGGAGUGUGGAAUUCCCGGUGUAGUGGUGAAAUGCGUAGAUAUCGAGAGGAACACCGGUGGCGAAGGCGGCCCUCUGGACGAAGACUGACGCUGAGACGCGAAAGCGUGGGGAGCAAACAGG
rnacentral:rRNA from 1 species